rnacentral:rRNA from 1 species
UACGUAGGGUGCAAGCGUUGUCCGGAAUUAUUGGGCGUAAAGAGCUCGUAGGCGGUUUGUCGCGUCUGCUGUGAAAAACCCGAGGCUCAACCUCGGGCCUGCAGUGGGUACGGGCAGACUAGAGUGCGGUAGGGGAGGAUUGGAAUUCCUGGUGUAGCGGUGGAAUGCGCAGAUAUCAGGAGGAACACCGAUGGCGAAGGCAGAUCUCUGGGCCCGUAACUGACGCUGAGGAGCGAAAGCAUGGGGAGCGAACAGG